UACGGGGGGGGCAAGCGUUGUUCGGAAUUACUGGGCGUAAAGGGUGCGUCGGCGGCUCUCUAAGUCGGAUGUGAAAACUCUGGGCUCAACCCAGAGCCUGCAUCUGAAACUGGAGAGCUAGGGUUUUGGAGGGGAAAGCGGAAUUCCAGGUGUAGCGGUGAAAUGCGUAGAUAUCUGGAGGAACACCGGUGGCGAAGGCGGCAUCCUGGACCGGCAUUGACGCUGAAUAGCGAAAGCCAGGGGAGCAAACGGG
rnacentral:rRNA from 1 species